rnacentral:rRNA from 1 species
UACGAAGGGGGCUAGCGUUGCUCGGAAUCACUGGGCGUAAAGCGCACGUAGGCGGCUUUCUAAGUCAGGGGUGAAAUCCUGGAGCUCAACUCCAGAACUGCCUUUGAUACUGGAGAGCUUGAGUCCGGAAGAGGUGAGUGGAACUCCGAGUGUAGAGGUGAAAUUCGUAGAUAUUCGGAAGAACACCAGUGGCGAAGGCGGGUUGCUGGGCCGACACUGACGCUGAGGCGCGAAAGCCAGGGGAGCGAACGGG